rnacentral:lncRNA from 1 species
CUUCCCACUGGUCAGCACAGGGAGGGAUCCAGGAAACGAGAGCGGGGCGAGGUGCUGCAGGGCCAGUGUGGCUGACCACGCACACUGCAAAAUGAGGCACGACCAGCGACUGACUUCCACAAAUCCAAUCACCAUUCUCCCCAUGGGAGCAGUUGGGGAGGAUGUAAGCUCAGAGAUGAGCUGGGAUCAAGAAGACCUCCUCCCUGAUGAACACCUCAGCACCAAGAACCUGGAGCCACUUCCUGUGUCCACCUGCAAUUUCUGCCCAGCUUGAGUGCCAGGAGCAGGCCUGGAACAGACACCCCAGUGGGUCAGCCCCACCUGCCUCUUAACGGCUCAUCAGUUAUUGGAUUUCCAUCAUCAGGACCUGUCCCUGAGCCCCCAAGACGGGUGUAAAACAAAACAAACAAGAUAAAAUGUGUACGCAGCCAACCAAAAAGAUGCCAGCAAUUCAAAGGAAGCAGGGCUCUCGCAUCCCCCAGGGAAGCUGGGCUGGAGGCCAAUAAGCCUGGUGCUUUGGACGUCCACUGACAAAGGGAGGAACAGCAUUCUGCAGGCCCCAGGAAAUGCCCCACUAGCUCUUGUUGGCAUCUUCAGGCGCUGCCUCAAAGGGGGACCCGAGCCUUGACCUGCCGCGGAGCGUCCUUUCUCCAGAUCGAUUGGCCCAAAAUCCCACAGACCCUGUUGCCGGGGGC